ACACAUGCAAGUCGAACGAGAAUCUGCUGAAGGAGGAUUCGUCCAACGGAAGUAGAGGAAAGUGGCGGACGGGUGAGUAACGCGUGAGGAACCUGCCUUGAAGAGGGGGACAACAGUUGGAAACGACUGCUAAUACCGCAUGAAGCAUAGGGGUCGCAUGAUUCUUAUGCCAAAGAUUUAUCGCUUCAAGAUGGCCUCGCGUCUGAUUAGCUAGUUGGCGGGGUAACGGCCCACCAAGGCGACGAUCAGUAGCCGGACUGAGAGGUUGAACGGCCACAUUGGGACUGAGAUACGGCCCAGACUCCUACGGGAGGCAGCAGUGGGGAAUAUUGGGCAAUGGGCGCAAGCCUGACCCAGCAACGCCGCGUGAAGGAAGAAGGCUUUCGGGUUGUAAACUUCUUUUAAGAGGGAAGAGCAGAAGACGGUACCUCUAGAAUAAGCCACGGCUAACUACGUGCCAGCAGCCGCGGUAAUACGUAGGUGGCAAGCGUUGUCCGGAUUUACUGGGUGUAAAGGGCGUGCAGCCGGGUCUGCAAGUCAGAUGUGAAAUCCAUGGGCUCAACCCAUGAACUGCAUUUGAAACUGUAGAUCUUGAGUGUCGGAGGGGCAAUCGGAAUUCCUAGUGUAGCGGUGAAAUGCGUAGAUAUUAGGAGGAACACCAGUGGCGAAGGCGGAUUGCUGGACGAUAACUGGCGGUGAGGCGCGAAAGUGUGGGGAGCAAACAGGAUUAGAUACCCUGGUAGUCCACACUGUAAACGAUGAAUACUAGGUGUGCGGGGACUGACCCCCUGCGUGCCGCAGUAAACACAAUAAGUAUUCCACCUGGGGAGUACGAUCGCAAGG
rnacentral:rRNA from 1 species